GAUGAACGCUAGCGGCAGGCCUAACACAUGCAAGUCGAGGGGCAUCGCGGUGCAGCAAUGCACUGGCGGCGACCGGCGUACGGGUGCGUAACGCGUAUGCAACCUGCCCCGCACCGGGGGAUAGCCCGCCGAAAGGCGGAUUAAUACCCCAUGGUCCCGGGGGCCCGCAUGGGCGAUCCGGGUAAAGCCUUGGCGGUGCGGGAUGGGCAUGCGUGCCAUUAGCUGGCUGGUGGGGUAACGGCCCACCAGGGCAACGAUGGCUAGGGGGUCUGAGAGGAUGGUCCCCCACACUGGUACUGAGACACGGACCAGACUCCUACGGGAGGCAGCAGUGAGGAAUAUUGGUCAAUGGGCGGAAGCCUGAACCAGUCAUGCCGCGUGCGGGAUGAAGGCCCUACGGGUUGUAAACCGCUUUUCCCCGGGAAGAAUAACCCCGAUGAGUCGGGGAUGCCGGUACCGGGGAAUAAGGAUCGGCUAACUCCGUG
rnacentral:rRNA from 1 species